rnacentral:rRNA from 1 species
CUAUACGGUGAAACUGCGAAUGGCUCAUUAAAUCAGUUAUCGUUUAUUUGAUAGUACCUUACUACUUGGAUAACCGUGGUAAUUCUAGAGCUAAUACAUGCUAAAAACCCCGACUUCGGGAGGGGUGUAUUUAUUAGAUAAAAAACCAAUGCCCUUCGGGGCUCCGUGGUGAUUCAUAAUAACUAAACGAAUCGCAUGGCCUUGUGCCGGCGAUGGUUCAUUCAAAUUUCUGCCCUAUCAACUUUCGAUGGUAGGAUAGUGGCCUACCAUGGUUUCAACGGGUAACGGGGAAUUAGGGUUCGAUUCCGGAGAGGGAGCCUGAGAAACGGCUACCACAUCCAAGGAAGGCAGCAGGCGCGCAAAUUACCCAAUCCCGACACGGGGAGGUAGUGACAAUAAAUACUGAUACAGGGCUCUUUUGGGUCUUGUAAUUGGAAUGAGUACAAUUUAAAUCCCUUAACGAGGAACAAUUGGAGGGCAAGUCUGGUGCCAGCAGCCGCGGUAAUUCCAGCUCCAAUAGCGUAUAUUAAAGUUGUUGCAGUUAAAAAGCUCGUAGUUGAACCUUGGGCCUGGCUGGCCGGUCCGCCUCACCGCGUGCACUGGUCCGGCCGGGCCUUUCCUUCUGGGGAAUCGCAUGCCCUUUACUGGGUGUGUCGGGGAACCAGGACUUUUACUUUGAAAAAAUUAGAGUGUUCAAAGCAGGCCUAUGCUCGAAUACAUUAGCAUGGAAUAAUAGAAUAGGACGUGUGGUUCUAUUUUGUUGGUUUCUAGGACCGCCGUAAUGAUUAAUAGGGAUAGUCGGGGGCAUCAGUAUUCAAUUGUCAGAGGUGAAAUUCUUGGAUUUAUUGAAGACUAACUACUGCGAAAGCAUUUGCCAAGGAUGUUUUCAUUAAUCAGUGAACGAAAGUUAGGGGAUCGAAGACGAUCAGAUACCGUCGUAGUCUUAACCAUAAACUAUGCCGACUAGGGAUCGGGCGAUGUUAUCUUUUUGACUCGCUCGGCACCUUACGAGAA